GCGGUUGUGGUGGAAUUGGCAGACACACCAGCAUGAGAGGCUGGCGAGCCAUAUGGCUCGUGCGCGUUCGAGUCGCGCCUUCCGCACCA
rnacentral:tRNA from 1 species